UACGUAGGGGGCGAGCGUUGUCCGGAUUUAUUGGGCGUAAAACGCUCGUAGGUGGCCACGUCAAGUCGGAUGUGAAAUCUCCCGGCUCAACUGGGAGGGGUCAUUCGAUACUGGCGACCUAGAGUGCGGUAGAGGGUAGUGGAAUUCCCGGUGUAGCAGUGAAAUGCGUAGAGAUCGGGAGGAACAUCUGUGGCGAAGGCGACUGCCUGGACCAGCACUGACACUGAGGCACGAAAGCGUGGGGAGCAAACAGG
rnacentral:rRNA from 1 species